CAAAAACGAAAAAGAGAGGGCUUUCUUCUUGGUCUUUCGCAAAUAAGGAAAGGCGGACGAAAUAUGUCAGUGACGGCGGAACCAAAUAACUUUACUGUAAAUAACUCUGUUGUUGCAUUCUCACCAUGCAAUGCUCUUCAACCAUUAACUCCUCCUUCGACAUUCUUGCUCCUGUUGCUCGCCUCGUUUUCGAAAAUCAUACUCAUAUUGCCCCUCCGCCCAAGGCGAUCCUCUGAGAAUACUAUUAUUAUCUGUCCCUACCCAUACCCUAUCGAGGUUUUCUUCUCAUCCCUCCGUUAUGGACUCGAUAAUACGGAUCUUUUUCCAAGCCAAUAGAAUGGAGUGAUGUUUAAAUUCAAAUUGGUCUUUGGAAAGCCAAAAGACUUCCCGGUGGGUUGUGGAUUGUAUGGAAGAUACCACUAAUGAAAGGAUCAAAAGCGAGGCUUUU
rnacentral:sRNA from 1 species